rnacentral:rRNA from 1 species
GUGGGGAAUUUUGGACAAUGGGGGCAACCCUGAUCCAGCCAUCCCGCGUGUGCGAUGAAGGCCUUCGGGUUGUAAAGCACUUUUGGCAGAGAAGAAACGACUCUGGAUAAUACCCGGGGUUAAUGACGGUAUCUGCAGAAUAAGCACCGGCUAACUACGUGCCAGCAGCCGCGGUAAUACGUAGGGUGCAAGCGUUAAUCGGAAUUACUGGGCGUAAAGCGUGCGCAGGCGGUUCGGAAAGAAAGAUGUGAAAUCCCAGAGCUUAACUUUGGAAUGGCAUUUUUAACUCCCGAGCUAGAGUAUGUCAGAGGGGGGUAGAAUUCCACGUGUAGCAGUGAAAUGCGUAGAGAUGUGGAGGAAUACCGAUGGCGAAGGCAGCCCCCUGGGAUAAUACUGACGCUCAUGCACGAAAGCGUGGGGAGCAAACAGGAUUAGAUACCCUAGUAGUCC